AGUGAGUGGCGAACUGGUGAGUAACACGUGGGAAACCUGCCCAGAAGCGGGGGAUAACACCUGGAAACAGAUGCUAAUACCGCAUAACAACUUGGACCGCAUGGUCCGAGCUUGAAAGAUGGCUUCGGCUAUCACUUUUGGAUGGUCCCGCGGCGUAUUAGCUAGAUGGUGGGGUAACGGCUCACCAUGGCAAUGAUACGUAGCCGACCUGAGAGGGUAAUCGGCCACAUUGGGACUGAGACACGGCCCAAACUCCUACGGGAGGCAGCAGUAGGGAAUCUUCCACAAUGGACGAAAGUCUGAUGGAGCAACGCCGCGUGAGUGAAGAAGGGUUUCGGCUCGUAAAACUCUGUUGUUAAAGAAGAACAUAUCUGAGAGUAACUGUUCAGGUAUUGACGGUAUUUAACCAGAAAGCCACGGCUAACUACGUGCCAGCAGCCGCGGUAAUACGUAGGUGGCAAGCGUUGUCCGGAUUUAUUGGGCGUAAAGCGAGCGCAGGCGGUUUUUUAAGUCUGAUGUGAAAGCCUUCGGCUCAACCGAAGAAGUGCAUCGGAGACUGGGAAACUUGAGUGCAGAAGAGGACAGUGGAACUCCAUGUGUAGCGGUGAAAUGCGUAGAUAUAUGGAAGAACACCAGUGGCGAAGGCGGCUGUCUGGUCUGUAACUGACGCUGAGGCUCGAAAGUAUGGGUAGCAAACAGGAUUAGAUACCCUGGUAGUCCAUACCGUAAACGA
rnacentral:rRNA from 1 species